UACGGAGGGGGCUAGCGUUGUUCGGAAUUACUGGGCGUAAAGCGCACGCAGGUGGUUCUGUGCGUGGGGUGUGAAAGCUCUCGGCUUAACUGAGAGAGGCCACCUCAUACGGCAGAGCUCGAGCCCGUGAGAGGUCCACGGAAUUGCCGGUGUAGUGGUGAAAUGCGUAGAGAUCCGGAAGAACACCGGAGGCGAAGGCGGCUUGCUGGGCGUGAUCUGACGCUGAGGCGCGAAAGCGUGGGGAGCGAACAGG
rnacentral:rRNA from 1 species